GUCCUGUCCAGGUGAGGUUAGUGAUGAUGAUGGUAUGUUGUCCUGUCCAGGUGAGGUUAGUGAUGAUGAUGGUAUGUUGUCCAGGUGAGGUUAGUGAUGAUGGUAUGUUGUCCUGUCCAGGUGAGGUUAGUGAUGAUGAUGAUGAUGAUGAUAUGUUGUCCUGUCCAGGUGAGGUUAGUGAUGAUGAUGGUAUGUUGUCCAGGUGAGGUUAGUGAUGAUGAUGGUAUGUUGUCCUGUCCAGGUGAGGUUAGUGAUGAUGAUGGUAUGUUGUCCAGGUGAGGUUAGUGAUGAUGAUGGUAUGUUGUCCUGUCCAGGUGAGGUUAGUGAUGAUGGUAUGUUGUCCUGUCCAGGUGAGGUUAGUGAUGAUGAUGAUGGUAUGUUGUCCUGUCCAGGUGAGGUUAGUGAUGAUGAUGG
rnacentral:lncRNA from 1 species